UACGUAGGGUGCGAGCGUUAAUCGGAAUUACUGGGCGUAAAGCGUGCGCAGGCGGUUUUGUAAGACAGAGGUGAAAUCCCCGGGCUCAACCUGGGAACUGCCUUUGUGACUGCAAGGCUUGAGUGCGGCAGAGGGGAGUGGAAUUCCGCGUGUAGCAGUGAAAUGCGUAGAUAUGCGGAGGAACACCGAUGGCGAAGGCAGCUCCCUGGGCCUGCACUGACGAUCAUGCACGAAAGCGUGGGGAGCAAACAGG
rnacentral:rRNA from 1 species